GGGGAAGCCAGGACCUCUGAGCAGCCCAGCUGGCUCAGAGCUUGGAGAGUGGCUAUUGCCCCCUUCCUAACCCCCUCCCCAUCCCCACUUGAGGCUAGCAGGGGCUGGGACUUCCCCUGGCAGGCCAGUGGCCAGUGGUUAAGACUCGGCACUUCCACUACAGGCUCGAUUCCUGGUUGGGGAACUAAGAUCCCACAUGCUUCGUGGGGCAGCCAAAAGAUAAGAAAACUUAAGAGAGAGACAGGCUAGAAGGGCUGACCAAGGCCAAGAGCUCACUCUGCACAGAGAGAUGCACGGAGAUCCACAGGGAGCCCCGAGGGUGCUGAGCUCGGCAGCCCCACAGGCACCCCGCGGGCCUGGCCCGGUGCUCACAGGACACAUUGAGUGUGACGGUCCUCUCCGCGCUCACAGAAGCCCUGCGGAAGGUUACCCGACAGGAAGCUCCAACAGGACAGGGAGAGUGACCAUCCACAAAUGAGCAAAAGAGGAAGCUCGGAGCUGCCGAAGUCUGGGGCCGCACAUUUUCAUUUUGCUUGGGGGCCUGCAGAAGAUUUAGCAUCUCCGGUGAGAAGCUUCCAGACUGAGACCCGCGCUAACAGGAGAGCGUGGUCAGCACUGCCCAGAGGCUGAGUUGAUGAGUGUCCAUCCCUCUCCUGAAGGUCAGAACAAAAUAGCAACGAAGGACGCGUAUCUGGGCCGACUCUGCUGGCCAGCUCCAACCCAGCUCCCCAAGUGACUGGCAAUGCACGUAGUCAAGAAUUAACCUCAGGAUUUCCCUGGCAGUCCAGGGGUUAAGACUCCAUGCUUCCACUGCAGGGGGUUCGGUUUUAAUCCCUGGUCUGGGAACUAAGACGGCCAGAAAAAAAAAAAAAAUUACCUUCAUCCAAAGAGAGGUGUGGGCUUUGCCCAGCAACUGGGAGGGAAUGCUAAGCCCUUGGCAUGCGUGUCUCGGUGUCCACAUUUCCUUUUUUUUUUUUUUUUUUAAAUAAGAAUA